rnacentral:rRNA from 1 species
CCCUUAGAUGUUCUGGGUCGCACGCGCGCUACACUGACGAAUGCAACGAGCUUAUAACCUUGGCCGAAAGGUCUGGGUAAUCUCCAAAUUUCGUCGUGAUGGGGAUAGAUUAUUGCAAUUAUUAAUCUUCAACGAGGAAUGCCUAGUAAGCGCAAGUCAUCAGCUUGCGUUGAUUACGUCCCUGCCCUUUGUACACACCGCCCGUCGCUCCUACCGAUUGAAUGGUCCGGUGAAGCGUUCGGACCGUGGCCUUUGGACGGUUCGCCGUCUGUUGGCUGCGGGAAGUUCGUUAAACCUUAUCAUUUAGAGGAAGGAGAANUCGUAACA